rnacentral:rRNA from 1 species
UACAGAGGUCUCAAGCGUUGUUCGGAUUCAUUGGGCGUAAAGGGUGCGUAGGCGGCGUGGUAAGUCGGUGUGAAAUCUCGGAGCUUAACUCCGAAACUGCAUUCGAUACUGCGGUGCUUGAGGACUGGAGAGGAGACUGGAAUUCAUGGUGUAGCAGUGAAAUGCGUAGAGAUCAUGAGGAAGACCAGUGGCGAAGGCGGGUCUCUGGACAGUUCCUGACACUGAGACACGAAGGCCAGGGGAGCAAACGGG